GACGAACGCUGGCGGCGUGCUUAACACAUGCAAGUCGAACGGAAAGGCCCUGCUUUUGUGGGGUGCUCGAGUGGCGAACGGGUGAGUAACACGUGAGUAACCUGCCCUUGACUUUGGGAUAACUUCAGGAAACUGGGGCUCAUACCGGAUAGGAGCUCCUGCUGCAUGGUGGGGGUUGGAAAGUUUCGGCGGUUGGGGAUGGACUCGCGGCUUAUCAGCUUGUUGGUGGGGUAGUGGCUUACCAAGGCUUUGACGGGUAGCCGGCCUGAGAGGGUGACCGGCCACAUUGGGACUGAGAUACGGCCCAGACUCCUACGGGAGGCAGCAGUGGGGAAUAUUGCACAAUGGGCGGAAGCCUGAUGCAGCAACGCCGCGUGCGGGAUGACGGCCUUCGGGUUGUAAACCGCUUUCGCCUGUGACGAAGCGUGAGUGACGGUAAUGUGUAAAGAAGCACCGGCUAACUACGUG
rnacentral:rRNA from 1 species